GAUGAACGCUGGCGGCGUGCCUAAUACAUGCAAGUCGAACGCGAGCAGCAAUGCUCGAGUGGCGAACGGGUGAGUAAUACAUAAGUAACCUGCCCUAGACAGGGGGAUAACUGCUGGAAACGGCAGCUAAGACCGCAUAGGUAUGGACACUGCAUGGUGACCAUAUUAAAAGUGCCAAGGCACUGGUAGAGGAUGGACUUAUGGCGCAUUAGCUGGUUGGUGAGGUAACGGCUCACCAAGGCGACGAUGCGUAGCCGACCUGAGAGGGUGACCGGCCACACUGGGGCUGAGACACGGCCCAGACUCCUACGGGAGGCAGCAGUAGGGAAUUUUCGGCAAUGGGGGGAACCCUGACCGAGCAACGCCGCGUGAAGGAAGAAGGAAUUCGUUCUGUAAACUUCUGUUAUAAAGGAAGAACGGCGGAUAUAGGGAAUGAUAUCCGAGUGACGGUACUUUAUGAGAAAG
rnacentral:rRNA from 1 species